rnacentral:rRNA from 1 species
AUUGAACGCUGGCGGCAUGCCUUACACAUGCAAGUCGAACGGUAACAGGUUAAGCUGACGAGUGGCGAACGGGUGAGUAAUGUAUCGGAACGUGCCCAGUCGUGGGGGAUAACUGCUCGAAAGAGCAGCUAAUACCGCAUACGACCUGAGGGUGAAAGCGGGGGAUCGCAAGACCUCGCGCGAUUGGAGCGGCCGAUAUCGGAUUAGGUAGUUGGUGAGGUAAAGGCUCACCAAGCCGACGAUCUGUAGCUGGUCUGAGAGGACGACCAGCCACACUGGGACUGAGACACGGCCCAGACUCCUACGGGAGGCAGCAGUGGGGAAUUUUGGACAAUGGGCGCAAGCCUGAUCCAGCCAUGCCGCGUGCGGGAAGAAGGCCUUCGGGUUGUAAACCGCUUUUGUCAGGGAAGAAAAGGUUCUGGCUAUUACCUGGGACUCAUGACGGUACCUGAAGAAUAAGCACCGGCUAACUACGUGCCAGCCGCCGCGGUAAUAC